UGUGUGUUGAGUGUGAGUGUGUCUCUGUGUGUGUAGGGGUCGAGGUGGGGGGGUCCGUGUUUGCGAUCUGAACCUUUGGUACCUACAAGGAGGGUGUCUCACCGAACGGUAGCUAAAACCUCACCAGAACCGCGCGGAAGUGAGAAGUCGCGGCCAAAGGCGCUCGCAGAAGCCUCCUCUCUGGGCCGCACCCCAGCCCGAGCGGCCGAAAGGAGCCCCCCGCCCGGAUCACAGCUGCUGCAGCUGCCGCUGAAAUUCGCUGUGGCCGCUGCCUCUUCCCGCUUUAAUCCCAGACCUCCAGUCAUUGGGCAGCUCCUCAGAGGCAAGAAGUCAACACCAUGGCAACCCGACAAGCCUAUCAAAUCACCGGCUGGCGUGACAGCAGCAACACUGCAGGCAGGCGUGGGCUGGGCGGAAGAGCAGAGUGGCCACUGCGCUCAGAACUUUACAAGGAAAGGGGAAAUGUCUGAAAUGGAGAUUGCACAAUCCUGUCUUGAAGCAGAAGACUCAGCCAGAGCACAUCUGGAAACACCCGGCACUCCUCAAUAGAAUUCAAAUGCUAUUUUAAAAGAUGUAAAAUCUGAGCUGCAACACUGAACAAAAGCUGUACUUGCCAGCCAGCAAAGAUGCUACCACUCUGCACAACAGAUAAAAGCCAUAUAUAUAGGGAAGUCAAAAGAGUCUUUAAGCUACAGUGUUUGAGAGGCUGUUUGUCUCUGAUGGAAAAUUAAGAAAACGGUAAGAGCAGCGUUAGCAUGAGGUGUUCAUUCCAAAUUUGUCACUGCAGUGUGUGUGGCAUUGUGUGCCAAAACAACUCUUCAAGCAAAAACACCUCCAGCAAACUUCCUCCUUCACUUCAAACCUCAUCUUCAAUUACAAUGUGGUUCCUACAAAGUAACGGGCUGUUGUCCUCUCUUCAGACCUGUGGUGCUUCUGCGCACUAGCCCUGUAGACCAUCAAGGCCUAAAAAUAGCUGCUGGAUUCAAUGAGACAUGAAGCUGACAGAAAUGGCAUCAAGCUAAUUGGCAACAAACUCUAUGAAACCUACUCAGGAAAUCAUAUUUUUAUGCUGAACACCAAGUGGAUUCUUGUUUGAAUGUGAGGCUAACUUAUUUUUAUAUUUAUAUUUCAAAUAAAACAAAGGGGUAUUGUUAAAGAAGAACCUUUUUAUUUCCCUUAUUAUAUAUUUAUUUAAUCCUUUUAAAAGUUUUGUUAGCAAAAUCUUUGGAUUCAGUGAUAUUUAUUUGAAAAGAUUGUUAUCCACACAUUAUGAAUAAGAAAGUGGGGCAUAAAGAGGUGAAAUGACAUGUCCUUAGUCAAAACAUAGACAACUUGAUUCUAAUCUAUCAGGAAAGACGACGAUAUUUAUAAGUAACCAGAACACAAAGUGCUAAGUUCAAUACUCAUAUUUUGAAUAACACAAGAAGUAAAAUCCUUUAUUUAAAGAAUCAAAGGGUUAUCAGAAGAGAAGUUAUUGGUGGAUGAUCACAGAGCUAAUAGCCAUAAUUAUACAUGACCUGCUGGAAGAUGGAAAAAACAUAACACAAAUCUUACCAUUUCCUCUGGUAGUUGAUUCAUAAGAAAACUCUUAGGUCUUGAUUGUUUACUUGAGAGUGUUGCUAUUAUUACUCAACUUAUUUAAAAAAAAACGGAAAAGUUAGUUUUGAUGGCUGUUGUUGUCUGGAAGAAAUAGACUAUAUUCAAAAUAAAAAUUGCUUGAACAUGUCAACAUGAUUGCAUAAUUUUUCAAAUGUUGAUUCCUAAUACACAGAUUGUAAGGAUUCAGUUCACUGGAUGAGAUGUUGUUUUUAGAAAUGAUCUGCCUUCUCUGUUCAUUCACAUUCAAUUCAAGAAGUAGGAAAUUAUUCUGGAAUCUUUUUUCUCAUUAUGGUCUUGAUGUGAAAUUCAUUUCGUGGUUGCUGAGCAUCCUGAAAAUACAGUGGAUGGUUGCAACUACAUAUUCCUCUCUGGUGAUUUUACUACAACUGCUCAAAUAACAAAUGAUAAAAUGUUUUAGAUGGUAUAUUAUUUAUUUUACUUGUCUUAAUGGUGAAUUUACUUAGUGUUUUCAAAAGGAAUUCCAUUUCAGAAUAUAAAAUAGCAUUCUAAAAUUCUAUAAAAUGUAGAUAAUUUAGAAACCUGAGUUAUAAAAUACAUAAAUAUGAUUCAAACAUAUAAUCAAAAUAAAAUAUAUGACUUUUAUAAUAUCUUUCUGCUCUAGUUAAUCUUUCUGCCUCCAUUAAUUACUGUAACAUACCUUGAGGUAGGUAGAAAUAAAUUAACUAUGUUUAAGCUGUAAUGAAUUUUUGGGCAGUGCCCAGCAGAAAAUAAUAUUGAACACAAGACAGAAUUGUGACUUCCAGAUUUCCAUUUGAAGGUCUUAUAUGCUGGGAGAAAACUAUAAUUUAUUAUCACAAUAACAUUUCUAAAUCAAGUCAGUUUCAAAGAGAAGUUGAUUUACUCUGAUUUAGGCAGCAUUUCCUCUAAAUGUGGAAAAGGUUUUUAAGUUACUUUACCUGGAAAGACAUUUUUAUCAGAUGGCAACGAUUUUACUCACACUUUCUAUAGUUUUCUAUAUCCAAGUUGUGAUUCUUCUUAAACAAUCUAGAAGAUAUGCAGUACUAAUGCUUUAGGAUAUCAUCUCCAUUUUUAUUGAUAUAAGUACAACUUCAGAAUAAUUUGUUUUAGGCCUUUCUAAGAUGACUUUAGCUAUAGAGUUUGGGGACAGGAUGAAUUAGAUACCUUAGAUAUGUCUGAUCCUAAAAAUGUAGGUUCUGAAAUAUAUUGCACUAGUUUUCAAACAAUUAAAAUAAUUAAGUACACCGUCUUAGAUAGAUAAAUAUAUUUUCCAACUCAUGGCAAACGAAUUGCUCUGUAUAAAGAAAAUGUAACUAAAUAUUAGCAGUUACUUGAUAAUGCAUUUACUUAUAGUCCUGCAGAAAAGAAGAUGCUGGCUGGCUGGCUGACAAUAUUAACUUGGAACACCCUGGUGUAUCCAGAUCCUCCUGGGAGUGUCUCUAGGGGCAGGUUGCAGAGCUUCAACCUUCUCCCUGGCCCGUGCAACAGAAGCAGAUUUAAGGAUGGCCCCAGACUGAGAGAGAUGGAGACAGAGAUAGAAAUAAAGAGCAAGAGCCAGAGUGGGAGACAGUGUGUGAGAACAUCCUUAGAAGACCAAAUUAGCAUUAAAAAAUUACAACGAUUUUCUGGGUUAGAUGUAAAGGCAAGAAUAUAAAUUUGAAAAAUGGACCUUGAAAGAUUGUAGAAAAUUAGUACACAAGAACAUCAUGUAAAAAGGAAUUAGAGGAUUUUUGUUAGCAGCAAACUCAGUAAAUUAACAAUAAAAUGAGGGAGUCCAAUUGCUCACUUUAUUUUUGUUGUUGUUAAUGUAAUACUAAUAGGAACAGAGUGCCUAGAGAAAAUAAGAUGAUAUCCUGGGGAAAAACAGUUGGUGCAUCAUUUUCAGUCCUUGUCAGCAUACAUUUAGAGCACAGAGUAUGUAAGGAGAGACCACUAGCGUAAGUGGGAGUUCUAGAAUCAAUAUUAUGUUAGUUAAAAAAGGUGAGACUGUUUUGUCUAAAAAAGUGAAGGCUGAGAAUGUAGUAACUCUCUUCAAAUAUAUGAAAAAUUGUUUCUAGAAAAGAGACUAAGCACAUUCCCUGUAGUGCUUUAAGAAUGCAAUCAGAACAGGCGAGGGUUGUAGAGAGGUAUAUUUCGCUACCGUACAGGACAGUUUUUCCCCCCCUCAAUCACUAUUGCUAUUCAUCAAGGCUCUAGUUUGUCUUAAGGGAGAAUAUGAGUUUUGUAUUACUAGAAAUAUUCAAUAUAACCUUUAUAAUUUUUCUUUUCUUUUUAUUUUCAAAUAGAGUCCAUUUCUAAGAAGAUGUGGUUUGAACAUACAGAGCUACAUAAUAUGAGUAAAAUAGGACCUAAUAGUAGUGUUCUCCAGCAUUGCUCUGCCUUUCCUUUUCUGGAUGUAACAACAUUACUAAGAAAGGAAGAAAAAGCAAAAAUCUGCUCUUGGGGAGAUUCCAGCAUGAUGGAAAGCCCCAAAUGGAAGUCUCUGCUUUGGUUACAGGACAUAAGGUUUAAUAAAUAAAAAGAUGCUCAUCUGGGAUGCUGCACCAAUUAUCAUGUACUAAAUAAGGUUACCUACUUCACUCUCCAGGUAGAAAUGUCUAUCAUAAGCAUGUGCCACAGAAGGUCUCACAAGUAUCAUUAUUGGCUGUGUUGAAUUUUGUUUUUAGUUCUGUUUUAUAAGGUCUGUAGUUUUACUUUCAGUGAGGAAGUGUUUUCUCAGGUUCUCAAGAAAGUAACAAAAUGCCAGCAUUGUCAAGGUCACCAUUGCCACUGAAUUAUCUUACUGUCUGAUUAUUCCAUCUUCCUCUGCAUCAUAUUAGCCUGAUGACUACGUUCUAAUUAUUUAAAGCGUUAUGUAAAUCAAAGCAGUAAAUGUAAUUUCUAGUCUUACUAGAUAUCAUGUACAUUAGGUCGAAUAACUCUAGAAAUGUCGUCAUAAUCAUGUCAUGUCUAAUGAUGACCUACUCAGCCCCUGCCAAAAUCAUUCAAUUACUCAUUUCAGCAUUUAUUUUUCUCAUGCCUCUCUUCAUGGCAUUUAAACAGCCCUCACAUCUCCCCUUUUACUGAGGUGUAAUGUUGUAUAAUGACAGAGAUGCUUUGCUUCCCAGAUUCAUAAUGUUACACUCUGUUUCAAAUCCUUUUGGAGACAAAUUGGGGAAUCAAUAUAUAAAUAAUGACACACUUAUUUUUAAUUAAAAUCACUGCUUUCACAGAAAUGGUAUAUUAAAAUUAUUUUUGCUAAAAGAAAUUUUAAAUACCUAUGUACGAUAAAAAGACUGCCAAUCCUUGGGAUCAAGAAUAUAAUUUGCCCCAAAUAACUUUUCUGUAAAAGUAGAAUUCUUAAUGGAAAAUAGAUUAAUACAUAUAAUUUCAAGAUUUAACCUUAAAAAUGGAAAUAAUGUGUCCAUUUUUAAAAAUAAAUCAUAUUUACAUA